rnacentral:rRNA from 1 species
AUGCAGCGACGCCGCGUGAGGGAUGACGGCCUUCGGGUUGUAAACCUCUUUCAGCAGGGAAGAAGCGAAAGUGACGGUACCUGCAGAAGAAGCGCCGGCUAACUACGUGCCAGCAGCCGCGGUAAUACGUAGGGCGCAAGCGUUGUCCGGAAUUAUUGGGCGUAAAGAGCUCGUAGGCGGCUUGUCACGUCGGAUGUGAAAGCCCGGGGCUUAACCCCGGGUCUGCAUUCGAUACGGGCUAGCUAGAGUGUGGUAGGGGAGAUCGGAAUUCCUGGUGUAGCGGUGAAAUGCGCAGAUAUCAGGAGGAACACCGGUGGCGAAGGCGGAUCUCUGGGCCAUUACUGACGCUGAGGAGCGAAAGCGUGGGGAGCGAACAGGAUUAGAUACCCUGGUAGUCCACGCCGUAAACGU